UACGGGGGGGGCAAGCGUUGUUCGGAAUUACUGGGCGUAAAGGGCUCGUAGGUGGCCAACUAAGUCAGACGUGAAAUCCCUCGGCUUAACCGGGGAACUGCGUCUGAUACUGGAUGGCUUGAGUUCGGGAGAGGGAGUGCGGAAUUCCAGGUGUAGCGGUGAAAUGCGUAGAUAUCUGGAGGAACACCGGUGGCGAAGGCGGCAUCCGUGGACCGACACUGACGCUGAGGAGCGAAAGCCAGGGGAGCCAAAGCGGG
rnacentral:rRNA from 1 species